rnacentral:rRNA from 1 species
GACGAACGCUGGCGGCGUGCUUAACACAUGCAAGUCGAACGGAAAGGCCCUGCUUUUGUGGGGUGCUCGGGUGGCGAACGGGUGAGUAACACGUGAGUAACCUGCCCUUGACUUUGGGAUAACUUAAGAAAGCUGGGGCUAAUACCGGCUAGGAGCUCCUGCUGCAGGGUGGGGGUUGGAAAGUUUCGGCGGUUGGGGAUGGACUAGCGGCUUAUCAGCUUGUUGGUGGGGUAGUGGCUUACCAAGGCUUUGACGGGUAGCCGGCCUGCGAGGGUGACCGGCCACAUUGGGCUUGAGAUACGGCCCAGACUCCAACGGGAGGCAGCGGUGGGGAAGAUUGCACAAGGGGCGGAAGCAUGAUGUAGCAACGCCGCGUGCGGGAUGACGGGCAGCGGGUUGUAAACUGCUUUCGCCUGUGACGAAGCGUGAGUGACGGUAAUGGGUAAAGAAGCACCGGCUAACUACGUG